rnacentral:rRNA from 1 species
CAGCCGCCGCGGUAACACAGAGGGUGCAAGCGUUAAUCGGAAUUACUGGGCGUAAAGCGCGCGUAGGUGGUUUGUUAAGUUGGAUGUGAAAUCCCCGGGCUCAACCUGGGAACUGCAUCCAAAACUGGCAAGCUAGAGUAUGGUAGAGGGUGGUGGAAUUUCCUGUGUAGCGGUGAAAUGCGUAGAUAUAGGAAGGAACACCAGUGGCGAAGGCGACCACCUGGACUGAUACUGACACUGAGGUGCGAAAGCGUGGGGAGCAAACAGGAUUAGAUACCCCUGUAGUCCCUGUCUCUUAUAC